UCCGCCUUCACACCAUAACUGUAAGCAACAGUAAGUAACUGUAAGCGGAACUGAAAGCAACAGUAACUGUAAGCAGCCUACUAGUCCUUGACCACAAAAUGGCUCCUCACCUCUUCAAACAAAAUGGCUUCUAGGUAUCUCAACAGGAGGUACCCAUGGAAACCCCUGCUUGUAAUAAAACCACCUUAUUUAUUUCCUACACCAUGAACUCCCUCCAUCCCAGCCCCUGUGCCACCCCCUCACACCGCACUGGGCACACACUACGCAUGCACACCUGGCGGUGUUGUGGAGCUCCCCAUCUCCCUCCUCGGGGUGUCUCCACCAUGGUCCGGUGGGUGGCCCCGGCCAGUGUUGCCUCACAUCUUGGCACCUUUCACCAGGUGGAUUCACUUGCUCAGGACUCCAUCUGCUUGGACGGCCACAGCUGUAGCCUCGCGUGUGCAGCAGACCCAGUAUGUCAUCUCUGUGCUGCAGGAGGAGGAGGCAGCACAUGGCAUCCUCCCCUGCUUUCAAGAGUAGUGGUUCAACCCUCUGGGGCAAGGCGGGAGCAGAGGGGCACUGAUCAGUCCCACAGCAGGACUGUGCAGAGGAGCAGUUGUGAUCAACUUCUAAUCAACUUGUAAUCUUCGAUUGUGGUGAUGGGAACACGCAGAGCCUGCUGUCUUUUGGAAACCAGGCAAUUCUUUCAAGUAUUCUUUCUGGGCUCCUUGUAUUGUUCAUAUAUCUUUGUGACUCUUCCAAGUAAAGUGUGGGGGGGUUUUCCUGGAUAGAACCAGUGGAAGUCUGUCGAUGGCCUCAGCAAGUACCAGCACGACUGAAAGAUGUCCCGAGAACACGAAAAUGAACCUGUGAAGUCUAUCCAGACCUUUGGCACUACAGACACUGAAUUUUUUGCAAGGCUGAGGAGUAAGGUGGGCACUCUUCGUAUGAAACCUGUUGGACACCGGGAGGAGAAAUGAAGAAUUGUUAGAACCAGCCUGAGACCAACUAGCACUAAUCCCUAAGAAACAAAAAACUGUUUAAAAGAUGGACUAUUAAGCCUGCAUGUAGUAACACAAGUCACUUUUAACUUACUAGAGCAGUGUCUGGUAAUGUUUAUGUAGACAAAAAAUGAAGAUUCAUGUUUCUGUUCUUAGAAUUUCUACCUUUCCCAAGCUAUAAUAGCAUUUGCUUCUGUUUGACAGUCCUGACUUCCUCUGAAUUAUUGUUGGGAUACUAAUGUACCCCUUUGGAUUCAACAAACUCUGGGAGCUGCCAAAUGGUUGGGAUGUAAAACCAUUAUAGUACUCAGAGAUAGGGUUAGCUGAGAUUUGUAUUGUGGUGAGCAAAAGUAGAAAUUCAAAUGUAGCAAACCUGGGUUUAAAAAUAGCAGUAAAGGUAUCUCUACAACACGGAAAGCUGUAAUCUUGGCUUAUUACUACCUUGAUCAGCUCUGUAAUAUGGUACUCAACUAAACUUGAAGUAGAGUGAAAUACUCUUGAGACAACAACUGGAAAUGCUGCUUGGUUUUUUUUAGGAAGACUUAACAUAAAAAAGAGCAAAUGCUGAAAUUGUUUAUCUUCCAAUGUCUGAUUUUUCAGUAUUGAAUGCAGCACAUUAUUAAUACUAAGUCUAAGUUCAUUUUUGGUUUGUCAAGAAGGAAGGAGGUUUAGACAAGAGUAAUUAAUUUUUAUGAUCCAACAUGUAAUUACUGGAUGCAUUUGAAAGUUUAGGGUUUCUGUUAGGGAUUACAUUCCCUGAGGAUACCAUCUGUUCAUCAGUCUUUGUUCUUAGAAGUAUAAGACUGACAGGAGUAGCUUCUAAGAUUUUAUACAAACGAACAAAAAACACAACAAAAAACCCCAACUCUAGAGAGUAACAGCUAAUGCCAGGUUUUGAUGAUGGAUAUCUAAAAUGUUAAUUACCUUCCAACAGGAAAAAAUGUAGAACCUUAAGCUUCAGUGUGUAAUACAGGUUUCAUUGUGGGGUGGAAAGUGGAAAAAAGUGAGGUAGAGGGAGGAGUAGGUGGGUGUAAGGGUCACAGAUUACUAAAAUAGUAAUUUGGUAAACAUGAAAUAUUGUGUUAAGCAUUAGGACUGCCUUAUAUUUUGUAUGAGUGGCUAACUGGAUUGUACCCUUGAAUAAAAUGUCAGACUAUUUAUUUAUUUUUCUUUUCCCCCUUCCUCUGUUUUACCUGAAUACAGUGUCUGACCAAUUGUUGGAGUUCGUAGUAUUAAAAAGUAAAAGGGAGAGCAGAUUCUGAGGUGGUUUUAAGAGAGCAAGAGAACAAAGAUCUGUGAGCUAGGUGUUGUACCAACUCUCCUUCCUGUUACAUGCCUCCAGCCCUCUCUGGAAGAGGGCUCUCCAUACCAGAAGCUGCAAAUUAGAACUUUUGAGAAGUGUGCACAGAAAGAAAACUGCCUUGUUCCAAAUUACUCUUCACGUUUUAACACCCUGCAGCUAAGAUUAAGACUUGCUCUGUUAAACGGAAACAGUCUAUCUGUGGGGGCAUUCUUGAACAUAAAUCCAUUGCCCCUUCUGCCCAGCAAAGGGGCUCAUUUGUAGUAAAUUUAAUGGUAGUAGUUUAUGAAGAAUGUGAAGUACAUUCUGGUAGCCUCACUGAGAAAAUACAUGCACAGUUGUAGCUGGUUUUGAGAUUUUAACAUUGCAGCAAGUGAAGUGUAUCAUUUACAUAGUGACCAGCUGGGAGGGCAGUGGUUUUCUUCACUUUUGUAUUGCGUCUGGUAGAGAGGGAGUUAAUUUUCCCUGCAGCAGCCCUCGUAGUGCUUGGCCCUGUAUUGGCAGCUAGAAUGGUGUUGAUAACCAGUGUUUUGGCUACUGCAUCAAGGCUGUCUCUUCAACAUUCUCCCCUCAGUAGGCUGGGGGUGGGCAAAAUCUUGGGAGGGGGCAAGAUCUUGUUUGGGACAGCUGACCAAAGGGAUAUUCCAAACCAUAGGAGUCUGCUCAGCAAUAAAAGCUAAAGAGAAAGGAUAAGGAAGGGGGGGGAGGGGCAUUAAUUCUUAUGAUGUUCCUAUUCUGGAGCAAUCUACUAUGUGUACUGGAAGUCCCAGAAAGUGGAUGGAUGUCAUGUGCUGAUGGGAAGUAGAAAGCAAAUCUUUUGGGUUUGUUUGUUGUUCUUUUGUUUGGUUGGGGUUUUUUUCCCCAUCUCCAUGUGCCUUCUGCUUUUGUUUUAUUAAACUGCCUUUAUCUUGACCCACAAGGUUUCUUUACAUCUGAUUUUCUCUCCCCUCCCCCAUCUUGCUAAGGAGGGGAAGUGAUAGAGAAGCUUCAUGGGCACCUGGUGUCCAGCCAAGGUCAACCCACCACAACUCUUACUCAGGAGACAAAUAAGAGGGAGAAAACAGACACAUUAAGGAGAGAGUGUCUGUGUGUUUGGUUUGACAGCUUAGUCUGCUGUUGUUUUUCUGGUGAUAUUUA